AAGACUUAGACCCAGAGAGGCAGUAACUGCCAAGAAAAUUCAAGAGUCGUAUAAUUAGAACAAUGGUCCAUAUAAGAAGAUAACCUGGUUUCUCAUGACAAUACAUGCACCCCCUACAGGGGACUCUCUAAGUUCUAGAGGCUGAGAAGAAUUUGAUUCCAUAUUUAGGGCAUCAUAAAUUCAAAGGGGUGAGAAAAAAUAUAAUAUUAGGACAAAACAUGUGCACGGAAGUACACAAGCCAUUUGCUCCGUAGAGAAACAAUAUAGUGAAAUGUCAGUGGACUUGGAAAUCAAAAACAAUAUCACAUAAGAGGAAAGCAACAGAUUCCACUUUCAAAUUCAGCUUUCCAACUUGGAAUUUGAAUUUGAAAGUGGAAUCUGUUGCUUUUCUCUUAUGUAAUCUUGUUUGAGAAACGCAGGUAAUCAGUUUCAAUCUUUUCAAUAAUGUGAAAGUCCUGAUAAUAUCUACUUCAUGGGAGUAAAUGAGAUAAUAUCUAUUAAAUUGCCAUAAAAUACUACAGUUUUACAAGUGUAAGCUAUUGUUAGCACUACCAAACAUAAUAAUUGUUGCUUUUUUGUUGACAGUUUUUUUUAUAAAUCAGGUAUUACAUUAAUGUCUUUACAUACAAGAUAUCAUUUAACCAUAAUUUACAAAUAAAAUCAUUCAAAAGUAUCUGAAAUAAAUGGUCAAGUCACAAAAACAAAUAUGUCUAUCAAAAAUAAUUAUUUCUAAGAAAUGGUUUGCCAAUGUUAUUUAGUAGAGGCUUCCCAAAUUCAGCAGAUGUGAAUUUACCCAUAAAACAGUAAUUGAUCCACAGGAAAUCAUGACUCAAAAUGUGGUAUAUGAAAAGAAAGCAAUCCUUCAUUUACAUAGAAUUGUCAUAUUUCGGGUAACUUAGUGACAUGGACAUUAAGUUUCAUGGAGAUUGGGAAAAAGGUGGGUCGAAAAUGGUGAGUUAGAAAUGAAGAAUAGAGGCCAGGCACGGUGGCUUACACCUGUAAUCCCAGCACUUUGGGAGGCCAAGGUUGGCGGAUCACCUGAGGUCAGGAAUUCGAGACCACCCUGGCCAACAUGGCAAAAAUACGUCUCUACUAAAAAUACAAAAAUUAGCCGGAUGUGGUGGUGUGCUCCUGUUAUCUCAGCUAUUUGGGAGGCUGAGGGAGGAGAAUGGCUUGAACCCAGGAGGCAGAGGUUGCAGUGAACUGAGAUCGUGCCACUGCACUCCAGCCUAGGUGACAGAGAGAGACUCCAUCUCAAAACAAAACAAAAAACAAAUAUAUUAACAGUCUAUUCUAUCAGACCCCUUAAUUUGACUCAACCAAAUCCUCAAGGACAUUUUGCCCUGGAUUAUUGAAAAUAUGGGCAAUUCAAUAAUAAUUUAGAUGUGGGCCUAUAACAUGAUAUGAAAAGAGCAAUUUUAAAAGUUGGUUUUGAGGUCAUACACAGAUGGGUUUGUGGGCAAAGGGUGAGGACAACUUCAUAGAUCAGACGUCAUCUGAGCUGGGUUAUGGAGCUAAAUAGGAAGCAUUCUUGUGAAUAAGUCAAGAAACAACAUUACAGAAGAAUGUUCACAUUGCGGAGGUUUGAAACCACUGGGGAAGAGCUGGGUCUUUUUGCAGCUUAACUACCUCCUAUCCCUCUGUGUCCCUCCACUUCUUCCUCUGUGCCCUCAGGGGAUUGUCUUUACAUAGGCAUUGCACAGCCCUUGCCUUUCCUAAGAUUUAGAAUCAGUCAAUGGGAGGCACUAGGCAUCCAAAGCACACUGGAAAAGAGAAAAUUAAGGCCAGGGAUGCAGUCCUUCGACUUUUUUCCUGUCACAUUACUUCAGGUUGGCUUUGUCACGUGACCAAAACAGCUCUCACUGAGCAGCCUUAAAUCUCUUUAUCCUGGUAAUGGUUCCUUCCUCUUUUCCCUUAGGCUCAGGAGGGUAAUUAAUAGCUCCUCCUUGAUGUUAGCCCCAGGGGACUGCAACUUCACUUUCUGGUUUCCUUUCACCCUGUCCAUAUUUGAACAGAAUAGUCUUUUUGUAAAACUUUCCUUUGUUACUCUCAGUUAAGUAUACCAUUUAUAUUCUGAUGAGACCCCCCAUUGAAAUAUUUACGUAACAUCACAACUAAAGAAAAAUCAAAAAUUCAUUCUGUGUAAUGUCUGGCCAGUCCCCCAAACCCAGGUUUAACUGAUUUGAUUUUUUUUCUAUUCUUUCUUCCCUCCUUUCCCAUUGAGAUGAAUGGACAUUUGAUAUUACCAAGAAUAUGCAUAAUGACUUGGAAGUUACCAUUUGAACAAUUGACAUUCUUGAGCAUCUUAGGUUGGAUUUCCUAGGAACAGAACCUGUGACAGGAAUUCAGGUGGAGCUGUUUUAGGCUCAAGGAGCUCUCUUGUUCCUUCCACCAUCUGAGAACACAGUGAGAAGUCCCCAGGCUUCAACCUGAAAAAGGGCCCUCAUCAGAACCUGAUCAUCAGAACUUGGCACCCCAAUCUUUGUCUUCUGAUCUACAUUGUGACCUAAGUCAGAACGGGGCCAUAGCAGGCAUAAAAGCAACAAUUUAUCAAACUGCCUGAGGGAAUGAUGUAAAAAAUGCUCAUCAAGAAUAUCCAUCUGGACAGGACAAAAAAUGACGCUGAGAGGACUUUGGAGAGUUUCUACCCAGUUUUCCUAAAUUCCAGGAAGUUUUCUUAGUAGAAAUGAUGAUGACUGAAAGCUACUUCAUUUCUGGGAUACUUGAGACUUCUGGUCUGCAUAUGUGACUGUAGGAAGAAAUAAAUAAUUUAUGUUUUGGAAAAACCCUAAUUACCUAAAGAUGACUCUCAUGGAGUAAAAGGGAAAUGGGCAUUUGUCUUGUUUUCCCAAACUCUUUCAGUACUCAGUGAAUAAAAAUUAAGGUAACAACAUGAAUUCAGAAGGGCUUCUUAUUUGAGCUCUCUUACCUGUGCAGACUUAUAUUAUUGUGUGUGUGACAGGCAUUUUCCUUAUUUUAUUUUAUACAAUGUGUGUGAAUAAAUUUUUAUACAACUUCUUUUAUUAAAGGCAGAGAAUGCUUCAGCUUACCUUUGUAUUAUCUACAUUUUGGAAACAGAAUGAAUAUUCAAAUGUUGAAUUAGCUCGAAU
rnacentral:lncRNA from 10 species